UAGAAUUCCACGUGUAGCGGUGAAAUGCGUAGAGAUGUGGAGGAAUACCGGUGGCUAAGGCGGCCUUCUGGACAGAUACUGACGCUGAGAUGCGAAAGCGUGGGGAGCAAACAGGAUUAGAUACCCUGGUAGUCCACGCUGUAAACGAUGUCGAUUUGGAGUUUGUUGCCUAGAGUGAUGGGCUCCGAAGCUAACGCGAUAAAUCGACCGCCUGGGGAGUACGGCCGCAAGGUUAAAACUCAAAUGAAUUGACGGGGGCCCGCACAAGCGGUGGAGCAUGUGGUUUAAUUCGAUGCAACGCGAAGAACCUUACCUGGUCUUGACAUCCACAGAAUCUUGCAGAGAUGCGAGAGUGCCUUCGGGAACUGUGAGACAGGUGCUGCAUGGCUGUCGUCAGCUCGUGUUGUGAAAUGUUGGGUUAAGUCCCGCAACGAGCGCAACCCUUAUCCUUUGUUGCCAGCGAUUCGGUCGGGAACUCAAAGGAGACUGCCGUUGAUAAAGCGGAGGAAGGUGGGGACGACGUCAAGUCAUCAUGGCCCUUACGACCAGGGCUACACACGUGCUACAAUGGCGUAUACAAAGGGAGGCGACCUCGCGAGAGCAAGCGGACCUCAUAAAGUACGUCUAAGUCCGGAUUGGAGACUGCAACUCGACUCCAUGAAGUCGGAAUCGCUAGUAAUCGUGAAUCAGAAUGU
rnacentral:rRNA from 1 species